UACGUAGGGUGCAGGCGUUAAUCGGAAUUACUGGGCGUAAAGCGUGCGCAGGCGGUUUGCUAAGACAGGUGUGAAAUCCCCGGGCUUAACCUGGGAACUGCGCUUGUAACGGGCAAGCUAGAGUGUGGCAGAGGGGGGUGGAAUUCCAGGUGUAGCAGUGAAAUGCGUAGAGAUCUGGAGGAACACCGAUGGCGAAGGCGGCAUCCUGGACCGGCAUUGACGCUGAGGAGCGAAAGCCAGGGGAGCAAACGGG
rnacentral:rRNA from 1 species